GACCGGAUAGCCUUGGAAAAUAGAGGAUGUCAACUCUGAUAUAUAUAAAAUUGUUUGUAAACAUCAAUUAUUUAUCCGCAGUUUUUUUUUUUAAAUCAGUCACUCAUCAUGUGGUUUAUUAUUUUCAGUGGAUUGUUUUGUAUACUUGCAAAAAGGACUGAAGGUGUAAUGGUGCAACCUACUGUUACCCAUUAUGAAAGAGGUUCGGUAUCUAAUAUGAACAUGGCAGAAAAUUGACACGAUUAGAACAAACUGUUGCUGAGCUCCAAACGAAAAUGAAUUCCUUAAAUGACUAUGGUAAGUACAGAAAAGGUAAAGAGCAACAGGCAAAAUUAAAUCGAUUAUAAGUAUCGUUAAACUUAUAUUAUAAUGAAAUUUAAUUGUAUUAAAAUGUAUUUUAUUAUCAAACAUUUAAAAGAAAACGUCCCUUUUCUGCGAUUCUUUCUUUAUUAUAUUGUACACGUUGAACCAAAUGUUUAAACUUUGUAAUUUAAAUGUAAAAAGGUAAAAAAAAAAAAAUAGUUAAAUUUUUUUCUUGGUAAGUAAGCUUAAGAAUACUACUUAUUUGAUUACGCCGUUUUAGGAUCUCAUGCAUCUUGGGCAAUCUUUUAAAAAAUGUACAUUAAACAACGUGAUUGGUUAAAAAUGUUAUAAACAAUGGAAAUUCAACCAAUGACGUUAUUUUGAUUUUUUCAGUUUGUUUUACUGUGACAAGAAUCAGCGGAUGGAUACCACCUGGUUCUAUUAUCCCGUUCAGGCACAUCAAAACAAGUUAUGGCGUCACAAAUCGAAUCAAUUUGACGUUUUAAAGCAGAACAACCUGGUCCUUAUGUUUUGGGAGUUACAGUUUUCACACAAGAGGAUGGUUAUUAUCAAAUAUGCAAAAACGACGUAAUGAUAAGCGAGGUGUUCGUAGAGUUUUAUGAAAAAUCUGGAACUAGUUUUAUUGUGAUUGAGCUUGCUGUUGGAAGCAUCAUCAGUGUAAAAACUGCGAGAUUUAAAUUGUUUGUCAGACCAUUUUCUACUUUGACUGUAGCAAAAAUAAAGUAACAAUGUUUACGUUGUUGAUGAUACUACAAUGUCAUUUUUACUUUUCUGCAAAUUAAAGAAUUUUGCAUAGUUCCUGUUGUUUAUUCUUUAGUUUUCUAUGCUGUGUCAUGUUAACUAUUGUGUGUUUGUUUGUCCUUUUCAUUUUUAGCCAUGGCUUUGUCAGUUUAUUUUCGAUUUAUGAGUUUGACUGUCCCUCUGGUAUCUUUUGUCCUUUUUACAAUUGUAAUGUAAUAGAUGUGCCUACUAGUUUAAUUCCCCUUAAUUUGGAC
rnacentral:lncRNA from 1 species